GGGCGGCUGGCGCAAUGGUAGCGCGUCGCCCUCCUAUCCUGCACUGGCUUAGAAAGGCGAAGGUUCUCGGUUCGAGUCCGGGGUCGCUCG